GCUUGUUCCUUAAGGUAAGGACAUCUAGCUGAUAAUUAGAUUGAAGAAGGUUAAAUUCCUUCCAGGCUUU
rnacentral:tRNA from 1 species